GACGAACGCUGGCGGCGUGCCUAACACAUGCAAGUCGAGCGGGGUCCAUCCAGUGGCAACACUGGGGGAAGACCUAGCGGCGAACGGGUGAGUAACACGUGAGGAACUUGCCCCGGAGUACGGGAUAACUCGAGGAAACUCGAGCUAAUACCGUAUGCCCUCUUCUGGUCGCAUGGCCGGAUGAGGAAAGAUUCAUCGCUCCGGGAGAGCCUCGCGGCCUAUCAGCUAGUUGGUGGGGUAACGGCCCACCAAGGCAUCGACGGGUAGCUGGUCUGAGAGGACGAUCAGCCACACUGGGACUGAGACACGGCCCAGACUCCUACGGGAGGCAGCAGUGGGGAAUCUUGCGCAAUGGGCGAAAGCCUGACGCAGCAACGCCGCGUGCGGGAUGAAGGCCUC
rnacentral:rRNA from 1 species